AGCUCCGGGGUGUGAUCACGUCAGAUUGCAAAUCUGAAGAAGUAGGUGAAGAGCCUGCCGGGGCUU
rnacentral:tRNA from 1 species